AUUGAACGCUGGCGGAAUGCUUUACACAUGCAAGUCGAACGGCAGCACGGACUUCGGUCUGGUGGCGAGUGGCGAACGGGUGAGUAAUACAUCGGAACGUGCCCAGUCGUGGGGGAUAACGUAGCGAAAGCUACGCUAAUACCGCAUACGAUCUACGGAUGAAAGCGGGGGAUCGCAAGACCUCGCGCGAUUGGAGCGGCCGAUGGCAGAUUAGGUAGUUGGUAGGGUAAAGGCCUACCAAGCCGACGACCUGUAGCUGGUCUGAGAGGAUGAGCAGCCACACUGGGACUGAGACACGGCCCAGACUCCUACGAGAGGCAGCAGUGGGGAAUUUUGGACAAUGGGGGCAACCCUGAUCCAGCCAUGCCGCGUGAGUGAAGAAGGCCUUCGGGUUGUAAAGCUCUUUCGGCCGGGAAGAAAUCGUACGGGUUAAUACCCUGUGCGGAUGACGGUACCGGCAUAAGAAGCACCGGCUAACUACGUGCCAGCAGCCGCAGUAA
rnacentral:rRNA from 1 species